GUAAAGGCAAGCCUAAAGCUAUGAUGAAGGAGUUCCCGGAGCUUGUCAGUGACCCAGCAGGACUCAGCAAAGCUACAAUCAGUUGUGUCAGCAAACACACUGGGCACUGUCCCCUCAGACUCCAGGGACAUGGGUCAGGGGUGUUGGGAGAAAGUUAUAACUGCACUAAACACACACACACACACACACACACACACACACACACACACACACACACACACACCGUUCUCUAAACAUUUCUGGAGAUGUUAGCGUCAAAGCCUGGGAUUCUGGCGGCCCCAAAAACCUUGGUUUCAGUCACCUGUCUUCACUAGGUCAAUUACACUAACAAGUAGGACUGGAAAACAGAAAAGGGAAGAACAAAUAAGGAAGUCCAGUGGCUCCCAGAUCCAUCUGCAGGGUCUUGACGUCAGGUUUGGGCUUAGAGGGCGAAGGCCUGCCUAACUAAGCAGUUCUGUUCAGGGUUGACUUCAUUGGCCCAUUAGUGUCUAGGCUCUAUCUGCCCUGCAAGAUGGUCUGACAAGUUGUCAGAACCAUGGGAAAUCUCUUCCUCCGGGUAGCUUCAGGCUUCAGUCUUUCCCUUCCUCCAGCAUACGAUUUCUGGGGAAACUGCAAUUUCUUGAGAUCCGUUAUCUGGUAGCUGACAGGAGAGACAUGGGUAUUGCUUUAUAAUAUCGUCUUUCCUGGCAGGAUGGUUGCACAGAUGACAAAAGUAUAGAGUUAUUUACAUAGCAUUCCCUGGUAUGAGGUGUUGUAAAUAAGCCAGAGAUUUUGUUUUGUUUUAAUAUUUGUUUGUUUGUUUGUUUGUUUAAUGUAUGUGAGUGCACUGUAGCUGUCUUCAGACAUACCAGAAGGGGGCAUCAGACCCCAUUACAGAUGGUUGGGCAGCAUCCAGUGACCAUCCCCGGGGAGUGAGUAUAGCAAGUGUUGUAUCUGCCUUCUCUGCGACAAGCAACCACCAUCUUAGAGAGAUGGGCUGGGCACUCUUGCAAAUGAAUUGUUCUAGCUUGGGGGGUGGGGCGUGUCACAGAAUCCUCGCCCAAUAUCCAGCGAGUAUCCAGUAUCCAGUAUCCAGCGAGUAUCCAGUAUCCAGUAUCCAUCUCUCUACCACCUUUUGCUUGCCAUUCUGCUUUAACUGCACGUGACCUUGAAAGGGACUAUAGGAUAUAUGGACUGGGAUACUCUAAGGGAGAGAGCGACUCUGUCUAUGCUCCCGGGAAGCCCUUAUUUCUGCUGGGUAAAGGCUUUCCAGGUGUGGCCUGUGGAAGGGAGGUACACUCACACCCUUCUACAUAACCCCUGUAAGGAAACUCAAUAAAAUUCUUAGGACCCCAGAGAAUCA
rnacentral:lncRNA from 1 species